GCCCAGAUGGCGGAAUCGGUAGACGCGCUAGCUUCAGGUGCUAGUGUCCCUUGGGACGUGGAGGUUCAAGUCCUCUUCUGGGCACCA
rnacentral:tRNA from 1 species